CCAAAACAUCAACACAGCUUUACAAACCCCUUAAAACCAACUACUCCUCAACUCUCCUUGCUCCACUACUUUGUAAUAAUCAGCACUUCUCUCCCAUUCAGGUACUUGCAAGUCAGAUUCUUAAAUGACAUAAAACAUAUUCUAAAACUUAUGCCCCGCCCCCCCAUUGCCCUAUUUAUGACUGUUAAAAUGUAGCAAACAUGUUUUGUUUAAAGUUCAAAGUUUGACUCUUCUAUAUUAUCUUGUUUUCUUACAUUGUUAUAAUUAUUAAUGACCACUGACAGUGGCCAGUGACAGGAACUGUUCUUGCAGGGUCUGCAGAUCCCUACUCUAUGGCUGCGCAGACUCAUGUUCUAACAGCAGCUGAUGAAGAGACUUCUGUUGCUCUUGAUUUAAGAUGAGCCCAAUACUUCUUUAAGACAUUUUUCAGACUAAUGAAAACUAGGCAAUUAUGACUAUUUCCAUUAGGCAAGACAAUGUUUGCACAUAAAUCAUUCCACACAUUCAGGAACUUACAACUACCCUACAAAAUACCUUCUUCCUUUUACAUCCAUAUUUUUAUACCAAUGUUUAAGAAAAACGAACUGAAGGUACAUAGGAAACUAAAAUCAAGGUUUCCUGACAGCUAUAUUAGUGUCCUAUCCCAGAAGUUACUACAAAGCUAUAAACUAUUUACUCAAUCUUUUUCAUGACUAUUUUAUACAACAUCUUUGUCUUUUUGAUUAAUGUAUAUAAAGACAAAAAAAUUACAGCCAGAAUUAAUAAGCUAUCAGUAACAGCAAAAGGGGAAAGAAUGUUUCCCCAAAUGUCAUUUUGUUUUCCAGCAAAAUGUUUGAUGCUUCUAAUCCUUAACUAAAAUAAAUUCAGAGCAGAGUGGUUAAUAAAAUUUUGAGCUUAAAUAAGCUUAAAUUUAUAGUAAAGGCAUUAAUAAUAUGAAUAAGUAUGCAGCAUUCUUUUUCUAGCUAUCAGUUUCUUCCAGAUUGUAAAUAAAAUUUCUAUAACCUGGACUUUACAUGACUUUUCAAGAAUUUAGCAUAAUCUACAGAAUGAAAAGGUUGGACUAGAUAAUCUCUAAAUCCCUUUCCACUCUAUGACUUUAUAAUUCCAGCUUUUAUUGUGGUUUCUUCCUAUUCUUUAACCUAAAAAAUAAGAAUACAAAGGACAAAAUAAAUACCAAAUUAACUUGGUAACUUUAGUCCCAAAUCUUUGAAUUUCUUCAAAAAUGUUCAAAAUAAAACCACUGUUUCUUUAGUGAUUCAUGGGUAUAGUGCCAUAUAUCACUUCUUCCACAUUUCUUGAGCAGUACUAUUCCAAAAAGAAUCAAGUUUUCUUCUAUAUAGACCCCCGAGAGCAAAAUCAUUAUGACAAAUACAGUACUAGAAAUAAAGUUACUGUAAAAAUUACAAAUAGAUUUAUAGAAGAAAAUCUGAUUUUCAUCAUGUAUAUAAUUGUUCCAGCCAAAGAAAGCAAUAUAUGCAAAAUUAUGUUGAAUAAAAAUGACAUAUGCCUAAGGAAGGGGGAGUUUUUAGAUGUGUAAGUAAUGAAGACAGUAGUUAAUGCACAAAACAUAAGAAUCCUUGAGGGAUGUCUUGCAAAUACCCAUACUAACAGCACCAAAUCUACUCCUUAGGAAUUGCAAAGUAACAGAUUUGUAACAAAAACUACAAAAACAAUUUUGCAAGGAUGUAUUAAAAAUCCUUAUUGAGCCUAUAAAGCAGGAACUAUAAAGACAGUUCUUUUUAUUUUACCACCAUUCUUACACUAUCCUUUCUUUUUCAGAUUCCAGAACUGCCACUCAAAGUGCCCUAUGAGGAGCUGUGGUAACAAGGAAAUGUUCUCAUGACUCAAAAAUCAGUGGAAAAAGGUACAGGAUGAGAAGCCUUGUUUCCCAACCCUAUCAACAGAAACAAGAUCUUGCUCUGUUGACCAAGCUGGAGUGCAGUGGUGCAAUCAUAGCUCAUGGCAGCCUUAAACUCCUGAGCUCAAGCCAUCCUCCCACCUCACCCUUCCAAGUACAGGUGAGCACCACCAUGCCUGGCUAAUUAAAAAAAAAUUGUUUUUUGUAGACAGGGUCUUGCUAUAUUGCCCAGGCUGGUCUCAAACUCCUGGGUUCAAGCAAUCCUCCUGCCUGGGCCUCCCUAAGUACUGGGAUUACUGGUAUGAGCCACCAUGCUUGGUCAUACUUCUACUCUUCAGCAAUCUACUAUUUUUCUUUUCUUUUCUUUUUUUUUUUUUUUGAGACAGGGUCUCAC
rnacentral:lncRNA from 1 species